UCCCUGGUAGCCUAGUGGUUAAGAGGUCAGCAUUGCCACUGCUGUGGCUAGGGUUCAAUCCCUGGUCUGGGAA
rnacentral:tRNA from 1 species